AACUCCAUGGUCGAGUGGUUAAGACCCGCCCAGAUGAUCUUUGCGCAGAUCGACGUCUUAACUGGGCGGUCGCUCGUUCAAUUCGGGCUGGAGCCG